rnacentral:rRNA from 1 species
UACAGAGACGUCGAGCGUUGUUCGGAUUCAUUGGGCGUAAAGGGUGCGUAGGCGGUCAGGCAAGUCGGAUGUGAAAUCCCAAGGCUUAACCUUGGAAGUGCAUCCGAAACUACCUGGCUCGAGGGCUGGAGGGGAGACUGGAAUUCUCGGUGUAGCGGUGAAAUGCGUAGAUAUCGAGAGGAACACCUGUGGCGAAGGCGGGUCUCUGGACAGUUCCUGACGCUGAGGCACGAAAGCUAGGGUAGCAAACGGG